GUCUGCAUGCAGUGGGAGGAAAUACUGAAUCACAAGAUGCUCAUGCACAGCAGAUCUGAGUGGAUGGAGGCAUAUUAUGCCUCCAUCAACUCAGAAGUCCCUCUGGUUCACCCUGAGUGACUGCAACUGGAGGUGUUCCUAGCUUUCAAUGUAAACAAUGUGUUUUCUCAGAAAAUACAGUGUUUACAUGAGAAAGGAUGUAGGGAGCUAUAGUUCUCACCUG